UAGGACUAUACAACAAGGGGGAGCAGUAGGGCUUCCUGGGGAUAAGUGUCUCUAAUAUUCACCCACCAGACAGAUCGAUAUUUCAUCAACAAAGCAAUGGCAGGAUCUGAAAAAACACUGAUUUACAGCGGGUACACGCACUGCCCACUGAAGUCUGUGGCGCCUCCAAAGUCGACUUAUGUGGAUCUGGAUGAACUGCUGAACCUUAAACUGGACGAAUCAAAAACCGUGCAAGUAAGUUUUACUGGCGAUGCCAAUCAACUCCCAAUGAUUAAAAGUACUCGGAGCAAUGAUGAUCCAAACAAGAACAAGAUGCAGUACACCGGGUUAUCAUCAGUGGUAAAUAUGCCUACAAUUAUGAAGAAAUGUGUUCAUCUGGAAAACUGGAAAAACAAGCCAGAGGAAACAGAAAUAAUCAGUCCUGGAAAGUUAACAGACUGUCCCGAGUUGCUCAAAGAGCUCGAUUACGUGGGAAAUCUGGAAACAGAAACCAAUCUACAUGCUGAGUGUGAUUUACAGCCCACGGAUUCCUAUCUGAGCGGUAAAAGCGAGUCGGAUGACGAGGUGAGUGUGGUGAUUGCGGAUUACUGUUUACGCGAUGGCACCGGUGCCGAUGCGCACUACAUUACCACGCAUGAAAUACAGCUUGUUGAGCUCGAUCACGACGUGGAUGACGAUCUGAGCACCCCUUCCAGCUGGGAUAUCGAUGAUGACCACCAGGUCUAUUCAUUUGUAGAUUAUGCAUCGGUGGACAGCGAUGAAACUAUAGGACCCGAAGAAAGCAGCUCGGCAGAGGUCCAUAAAAGCGCAAAGCGCGCCAGUCCAGACCAGAGCGCGCAAGAGAGCCAAAGCACCGGCCACAUUCACCUGUCAAUCAAAGCCACUUCCAGAGCUAUAAGCGAGCCUAGCAACGUCCAGGAAAAGCAUGGCGGUGUCCAACAUACCACGCAUACUGAAGACAUGAGUCGUGUUUUGUUGGACACAAAGAAGGAAGAUAGUUGCGAUGGUGCAAAGUGUUUAAUUGCGCUCCCGGGACGUUUGCACUUUGGUAUUAAAUCCAAAAGCAAAGAUGUAACUGGGUUUUCCAGCGGGACAUCCAGCGCAAUUAGUGAGCUGGAUGACGCUGACAAAGAAGUGCGCAAUCUCACAGCCAGAGCUUUCAAAAGUUUAGCUUAUCCAUAUUUCGAUGCCAUCAGUUUCAGUACAUCUAGUGAAUCAUCAGCCUCUGAGCACGGCAGAGGAAUCAACGCGUGGUCUCUCGUGGAUCUAAAGUAUGGUAACAUGAAUGUAUCCAAAGCAGGAGAUCACAACAUAGUGGCCCAUCAACAUAGUGCCAGGUCUAAUUUUCAGUUGGCAAACAAGACAGAGAGUAACGGGAUUACAGGAUUAACCCUGACAAGUAGAAGGGCGCCCCCAGUCGAGAUAUUCGCUCUGAACGGCAACCUGCUAAAGCCAAAAAACACAUCAACAAAACAAUUCGAGCUCAUGGGGAAAUUUGGACAAGGCCCGAGCGGUAUUAUAAGGCUCACCGAAACCCUGAACUUUCGAUGCAAUGUUAAAGCAGGGGCCGCCAACGAGAGACGAGCAAAAUCCUCCCGAAGCACCGGAGGAUCACGUUCCGCAGAUGAGGUUACACGCGCUCGGUCAGGCGCGCACAGCAAGCCACCGCGCAAUUUAGACGAAGCAAUGGAGGACUCGCACAAGAAAUCUAUAUUCGCGUCGAGCCUGCUGAAAAAUGUAAUUUCCAAGAAAAUGCAGUUCGAGCAAGAGCGCAAGAUGGAGCGAGGGGAGAUCUCCGAGCCGUGUAGCGCGUCCUCGCCGUGCGCUUCCAGCCAAGAGACAGAACCUGUCCGAGACAGAGAGGCGCACAAAGCGCACAGACAGUGCUCCAAACUGUCCGGGGCUGAAUCAGACUUCUCUAUAGUGUGCCUGGAUGAACUUGGGGACAUCGUAGACAGCGAGUCGUGCAGUCUUAAGGACGAUUCGUGUCACAGUGAAAAUAUUGCACUCGCAUCGGAAACCAAUUUAGAUCCGACGCACGGCGCGGCACUCCACGCUAAAAAAGGAGCAUCGGAAGCGAACAGAAGCGCACUGAUUCGGAGCCAAAAUAGCGCGUUCAGAAGCUGGAGAGUCGGCCAAAUUGAGGAGCUAACGGAGCGCAAAAAGGAGCAAACCUCAUCGGAUGCAUUAAACAGCAAGCUGACUAAAAUGUCGCGCUUAUUCGUGCCAAGCAUCCAAGUCGUGUCCGGUCAGAGGGAACUCGCCGAACCUGACCCGAACACAGACUCCGGGAGAACACAGAGAGGAGGGCACGUGUCCAAAUCAAAGUCUCCUGAAAUUAAAAUUAGUUUGCGAAGUUUUAGAGAAACCAGAAGUGACCCAUUCAGCAUGGCAAAGCUGCUUACUCCUACUAUAGGCAGCAAUACAGCAAAAGCAGGGGAUGAGUCCAAAUACCAAGCACUCACUGCAGCACUAAAGAAUGACCCGUCUGAGAAGGUUCCUCACUUCACUGUUAGAGAUGUCCGAGACAAGAGCAAACCUCAAGCACCGAUUCACCAAGUUAGAGAUGUGCGCAAACUGGUCAAGAGCUCGUAUAACUUUGGGUCUGUGGACAGCAAUGAAAAGACUAGUAAUACUGAGUUGGUUCACAGGACUUCCAAACAAAACCAAACUCAGAACCCAUCAACUAUGUCCCCUAUAGUGAUUAAGUGUCAGUCUGUCAAUACAAACGACAAUCUGAAACAAUCUGAGUCUACAAAACACACAGUAUCAGAGGAUAUCCUAGAAAAAGAUGGGCCAUAUCCUGUGAUCCCUACAGAGGGUAUAAAGAUCAGUGGAUCGAAAAUAAAAAAAUCUAAUGACAGAAUGUCUUCACCCAGCAUAAAGAAUGAUGAGUUAAAAAUUGAAACAAGAACCACUACAAAAAAGCAAGAUACAGACAAAAUAAGUGAACCAAGUGACACCAAAAUGGUUGCUUUGGAAAAACUCCAGGCUGCUGUUAAAACAAUGGAGCAGCUUUAUGUAUUUGAUAAAAAUGAGUGGAAGAGGAAAUCAAAACCACAUCCCAUAACUGACAGCCACGUUCUUUCACUCAUCAGUAGUGAAACAGACCAGGAGGACAUGACGCAAGUCUCACAUUUAAAUGCUGAUAAAUUUCUACCUUCUGGACAGCAGUCAACCCAAAAUGAAGAUAAGCAAACCUUUAAGAUGUCACAUUCUCCAGUUCCUUAUGAGAAACGAAGUGGCGCCAAUACUUUGUUGCACUUUGGAGAAACUUCUACUAAGAAUAUUUCCAGUCAGAAAUCUUUAGUUCCUUUAACACCAAGCUCUGUUAAGAUCCCUGAAAAGCGUGCCCCAUCUUCGGUAUCUAUUAGUUCAAAAGCUAUACCCCCAAAAACUUCAAAGUUACCUUUGUCUUUAAAGAUCACCCAGUCAAAGCCUGACAGAGAAAAGCUAAAAAGCAAAGAAGCUGGAUUCAAGCCAGUUCAGUUUACGUCUUCAGCUGAUUCAGAAAAUUACAUAACCAUCCCAGUGAAACCUCAACCCAUUGCUGCCAAACAGUUUCACCUGGGCCAUGGUAGCAACACCAAAAGCCAUGGAGACAGUCAGCAGUCCCAAGAGCAAUCAAGCAUACUUAUGGAGACACAAUCCCCAGAUACCCCUACUGCUACGAUCUACCAUCACCCUCUGCCGAUUACAAUGCAAGCAGCUCCACCUCAGGUCUUUUGUUUAUCCCCUACAGUGCAGCCCUCUCCAGUCCCCACAGACCUCUUUCAUCCCACACAGCGAAAAAUGCUCCUGGACCCCACCACAGGAAAUUAUUACUUAGUAGAUACCCCAGUCCAACCAGCCACAAGGCGACUGUUUGAUCCAGAAACGGGGCAAUACGUGGACAUCCCCAUGCCCCAGCAGCCCCCAAUGACCCCUUUACCUAUGCCAAUCUCCCCUCUUGCACUCAGCCCUGGAGGUUAUGGUCAUACUUACAUGAUUUACCCAGGAUACAUGGCCACCACAGUUAUUCCCGCUAGGACUAUUCAGUCUCAGCUCUCAAUGCCAACAGAUGGGGAGGCAGGAGACAAAGUCCACACAGAACAGCAGGGAGAUAGAGCAUAUAUGGAAAGCCCUUAUUACAUGCCGUCUGGGAAAAAUGUGCAGGCAACUUUAGGAGCUCAAAACAUUACCACUGGCAAGGCACACAGCAAAGUACCUGUCAUCAGCAUCACCUCCCAGCAAGGCCCCAGGAUCAUUGCACCUCCCUCAUUUGAUGGUACCACUAUGAGCUUUGUGGUAGAACACAGAUAACAUUUUGACCAUUUACAGUGGGUGCCAACAUUGUGGAGGGAACUGCAUUACAGAUUUGGCCCUUAUCAAAGUCACUCAGGUGGAGCUGCCAGUAUUAUGUCCAACCACCACUUACAAGAUUUG